rnacentral:tRNA from 1 species
GUGUCUGAAGUCGAAGCGGUCGAGACACUGGUUUGUGAAACUAGCCAUUAGCGAGUUCGAGUCUCGUCGGACACC